UACGUAGGGUGCGAGCGUUAAUCGGAAUUACUGGGCGUAAAACGUGCGCAGGCGGUGAUGUAAGACCGAUGUGAAAUCCCCGGGCUUAACCUGGGAACUGCAUUGGUGACUGCAUUGCUGGAGUAUGGCAGAGGGGGUGGAAUUCCACGGUGUAGCAGUGAAAUGCGAUAGAGAUGUGGAGGAACACCGAUGGCGAAGGCAGCCCCCUGGGCCAAUACUGACGCUCAUGCACGAAAGCGUGGGGAGCAAACAGG
rnacentral:rRNA from 1 species